AUGACGAGUGGCGGACGGGUGAGUAAUGCUUGGGAACUUGCCUUUGCGAGGGGGAUAACAGUUGGAAACGACUGCUAAUACCGCAUAAUGUCUUCGGACCAAACGGGGCUUCGGCUCCGGCGCAAAGAGAGGCCCAAGUGAGAUUAGCUAGUUGGUAAGGUAACGGCUUACCAAGGCGACGAUCUCUAGCUGUUCUGAGAGGAAGAUCAGCCACACUGGGACUGAGACACGGCCCAGACUCCUACGGGAGGCAGCAGUGGGGAAUAUUGCACAAUGGGGGAAACCCUGAUGCAGCCAUGCCGCGUGUGUGAAGAAGGCCUUCGGGUUGUAAAGCACUUUCAGUUGUGAGGAAAAGUUAGUAGUUAAUACCUGCUAGCCGUGACGUUAACAACAGAAGAAGCACCGGCUAACUCCGUGCCAGCAGCCGCGGUAAUACGGAGGGUGCGAGCGUUAAUCGGAAUUACUGGGCGUAAAGCGCACGCAGGCGGUUUGUUAAGCUAGAUGUGAAAGCCCCGGGCUCAACCUGGGAUGGUCAUUUAGAACUGGCAGACUAGAGUCUUGGAGAGGGGAGUGGAAUUCCAGGUGUAGCGGUGAAAUGCGUAGAUAUCUGGAGGAACAUCAGUGGCGAAGGCGACUCCCUGGCCAAAGACUGACGCUCAUGUGCGAAAGUGUGGGUAGCGAACAGGAUUAGAUACCCUGGUAGUCCACACCGUAAACGCUGUCUACUAGCUGUGUGUGUCUUUAAGACGUGCGUAGCGAAGCUAACGCGCUAAGUAGACCGCCUGGGGGGAGUACGGCCGCAAGGUUAAAAACUCAAAUGAAUUGACGGGGGCCCGCCA
rnacentral:rRNA from 1 species